rnacentral:rRNA from 1 species
GAUGAACGCUGGCGGCGUGCUUAACACAUGCAAGUCGAACGGUAUCCCAGGGGUGCUUGCCCUUUUUGGUGAGAGUGGCGCACGUGUGAGUUACACGUGAGUCACCUGUCCUUUUCUUUGGGAUAAGCAUUCGACAGGGUGUUUAAUACCUUAUGUUCUGUCUGCGUAUCAUGGUGUGGGUGGACAAGUCUUUGGCCGUAUUUGGGUGGGCUUGCGUUCUAUCAGCUUGUUGGUGUGGUGAUGGCUUACGAAGGCUUUGACUGGUAGCCGGCGUGAGAGGGUGGUAGGUGGCAGUGGGACUGAGAUGGGGCCAAGACUCGUGCGGGAGGCAGCGGGGGGGGAUAUUGGGGAAUGGGCGAAAGCGGGAGGAAGCGACGCCGCGGGGGGGAUGAAGGGGUUCGGGUGGUAAACGUCUUUUGCACUGAACAAGGAAUGACAGUGCGUGUGUGAAGUGUAGGGGUGAAUAAGCGCCGGCUAACUACGUG